rnacentral:rRNA from 1 species
UGCCGCGUGCAGGAAGACUGCCUUAUGGGUUGUAAACUGCUUUUAUACAGGAAGAAACAUCCCGACGUGUCGGGACUUGACGGUACUGUAAGAAUAAGGAUCGGCUAACUCCGUGCCAGCAGCCGCGGUAAUACGGAGGAUCCAAGCGUUAUCCGGAAUCAUUGGGUUUAAAGGGUCCGUAGGCGGGCUUGUAAGUCAGUGGUGAAAGUCUGUGGCUCAACCAUAGAAUUGCCAUUGAUACUGCUAGUCUUGAAUUAUUAUGAAGUGGUUAGAAUAUGUAGUGUAGCGGUGAAAUGCUUAGAUAUUACAUGGAAUACCAAUUGCGAAGGCAGAUCACUAAUAAUAUAUUGACGCUGAGGGACGAAAGCGUGGGUAGCGAACAGGAUUAGAUACCCUGGUAGUCCACGCCGUAAACGAUGGAUACUAGCUGUUGGGCUUCGGCUCAGUGGCUAAGCGAAAGUGAUAAGUAUCCCACCUGGGGAGUACGUUCGCAAGAAUGAAACUCAAAGGAAUUGACGGGGGCCCGCACAAGCGGUGGAGCAUGUGGUUUAAUUCGAUGAUACGCGAGGAACCUUACCAGGGCUUAAAUGUAGUUUGACCGAUUUGGAA